GUCCAGCAACUAGCGAAUAAUAGUAGUUUUAAAAUCUACAUAUUAAUAACCUAUAAAAAAUUAAAACAACCUAAACAAACCAUUUUUCCGCCUUAGUAUGGGAGACAGGAAAGGCCUUAUCAGCAAUAGAAAAAGUACCGCAAGGGAAAGUUGAAAGAGAACUGAAACAAUCAAGCAACACAUAAAAAAGCAGAGAUUUAACCUCGUAC
rnacentral:rRNA from 1 species